ensembl:lncRNA Down syndrome cell adhesion molecule homolog
AUGUGGAAAAUAUUGUCAUGCCAUCUAAUUUUUUUGUUCUCUUUGUUCUCCUCUCUUACAGUUUUUAGUGAAGAUCUACGUUCCAGCUUAUAUUUUGUCAAUGCAUCUUUGCAAGAGGUAGUGUUUGCCAGCACCACAGGGACCCUGGUGCCCUGUCCCGCUGCAGGGGUGCCCCCCGCCUCGCUGCGCUGGUACCUGGCCACUGAAGAGGAGAUCUACGAUGUGCCCGGGAUCCGCCACGUGCACCCCAAUGGCACUCUCCAGAUCUUUAACUUCCUCCCCUCCAGCUUUAGUAAGCUUAUCCAUGACAAUACCUACUAUUGCACAGCUGAAAAUCCUUCAGGGAAAAUAAGAAGUCAAGAUGUCCACAUUAAGGCCGUAUUUCGGGAACCCUACACGGUUCGGGUGGAGGACCAGAAAGCCAUGAGAGGCAAUGUAGCGGUCUUCAAGUGCAUUAUCCCAGCCUCCGUGGAGGCUUACGUCACUGUCGUAUCGUGGGAGAAAGACACAGUCUCACUAUCCUCAGGACCUAGAGUUCUCAUCACAACCACAGGAGCCUUGUAUAUUCUGGAUGUCCAGAAUGAGGAUGGACUGUAUAACUACCGCUGUACCACACGGCAUCGCUACACUGGCGAGACCAGGCAAAGCAACAGCGCCCGGCUUUUUGUGUCAGAUCCCACUAACUCAGAGCCGGGGAUUCUGGAUGGCUUUGACCGUCGGGAGGUCAUGGCGUCCCAUCGGGUAGAGCUGCCCUGUAAGGCGUCGGGCCAUCCCAUGCCCAAGUACCGCUGGCUGAAGGACAACAGCCCCCUGGAGCCCGACACACGUUUCCGCCAGAGUGUCACGGGCUUGCUGAUAGAGAGCGCCCAGCCCACCGACUCUGGCACCUACGUGUGUGAGGUGUGGAACAGCUAUGGCAACGCUGAGGUGGUGGGCCGGCUGCUGGUCAAACAGCCCCUGAAGGCGGUGGUCAGCCCACGAAAGGUGAAGGGCAGCGUGGGUAGUAAGGUGUCCUUGCAUUGCAGUGUCAGUGGCUCUGAUGAGUACGAGCUGUCCUGGUACCGUAACGGAGAGAUCAUCUACCCCGGCAACAACGUGCGGAUCACAGGCAUCAGCAGGGAGAACCUGAUCAUGGAGGGCAUGGCCAAGAGCGACGGAGGGGCCUACCAAUGUUUCGCCAGGAAGAACAAAAUGUCCGCUCAGGAUUUUGUUCCGGUCAUCUUGGAGGACGGCACUCCAAAGAUUCUGUUCUCCUUCAGUGAGAAGGUGGUCAACCCCAACGAACCGGUCUUCCUGGUGUGUAACGUCAAAGGCACUCCCCCUCCCUCCUGCACCUGGAACCUGGACGACGACCCGGUCAUCAAGGACAACCACCACCACCCUGGCCACUACGAGACCAAUGAGGGCCACGUGGUCAGCCAGCUGAACAUCACUCACACCAAGGAGGUGGACGGAGGGGUGUAUCGCUGCACCUGCAGGAACUCGGCCGGGGCGGUCUACCACCAGGCUCGAAUAAACGUAAGAGGGGCUGCCAGCAUCCGUCCAAUGAAAAACAUCACGGCCAUCGCAGGGCGGGACGCGUACGUCCACUGUCGCGUUAUUGGCUACCCGUAUUAUUCCAUCAAGUGGUAUAAGAACUCCCACCUGCUCCCCUUCAACCACAGGCAGCGGGCCUUCGAGAACAACGGCACUCUGAAGCUGUCUAACGUGCAGGAGCUGGACCAGGGAGAGUACAAUUGCAGGGUAUUGGUCAAACCUCACCAAGAGACCAAUCAGAGCGUCCAUCUCAGUGUCAAAGUUCCACCGUACAUCCAGCCCUUUGCAUUCCAGCGGUUCUCCAUUGGCCAGCGUGUCUUCAUCCCCUGCGUGGUAAUGUCAGGUGACCAGCCCCUGGACAUCACAUGGCAGAAGGACGGGCGGCCAAUCCCUGCCAGUCUGGGGGUCACCAUCGACAACAUAGAGUUCACCAGCUCACUGCGGAUCUCCAACCUGUCCCCAGACCACAACGGAAACUACACCUGCAUUGCACGCAACGAGGCUGCAGCCGUUGAGCACCAGAGUCAGCUCAUUGUCCGGGUUCCUCCCCAGUUUGUGGUGCAGCCCACAGACCAGGAUGGGAUCUAUGGCAAAACUGUGACCCUCAACUGCUCUGCUGAGGGUUAUCCACGCCCCACCCUCGUAUGGAAGCACUCCAAAGGUAACGGGGUUCCCCAGUUCCAGCCCAUCGCCCUGAACUCUGGCUCCCGUAUCCAGCUGCUGGUCAACGGCUCUCUGCUCAUCAAACACGUGCUGGAGGAGGACAGCGGCUACUACCUGUGUAAGGUCAGCAACGAUGUGGGAGCUGACGUCAGCAAGUCCAUGUACCUCACCGUCAAAAUCCCGGCCAUGAUCACGUCGUACCCCAACACCACCAUGGCCACGGUGGGCCAGCAGAAGGAGAUGAGCUGCACGGCCCACGGGGAAAAGCCCAUCAUGGUGCGCUGGGAGAAGGAGGAACGCAUCAUCAACCCAGAGACCAGCCGCUACACCGUCGUGGUCAAAGAGGUGGCUGACGAGGUCAUCUCCACUCUGAAGAUUUUGCCCACUGUUCGGGAAGAUUCUGGAUUCUUCUCCUGCCAUGCAAUCAACUCCUAUGGUGAAGACAGAGGGAUCAUUCAGUUAACAGUGCAAGAACCUCCAGACCCUCCCGAGGUGGAGAUCCGAGAGGUCAGAGACCGGACAAUCGCCCUCCGCUGGACCAUGGGCUUCGACGGAAACAGCCCUAUCACAGGAUAUGACAUUGAGUGCAAGAACAAAUCAGCCUCGUGGAAUUCAGCCCAGAUAACAAAAGACGUGUCCCCCCAGCUGAACCAGGCCACCAUUAUAGACCUGCACCCCUCCUCCACCUACAACAUCCGCAUUUUCGCCAAGAACGACAUCGGCAAGAGCGACACCAGCAACGAGCUCACUAUCACCACUGACGAAGCAGCCCCCGAUGGCCCUCCACAGGAAGUACAACUGGAGGCCACCUCUCCACAAAGCAUCAAAGUCACCUGGAAGGCCCCCCACAAGCACCUUCAGAACGGGGUGAUCCGGGGCUACCAGGUGGGUUACAGAGAGUACAGCUCUGGAGGCAGCUUCCAGUUUAACAUCAUCAGCAUGGACACCACAGGGGACAGCAGCGAGAGCAUCACCCUGGACAACCUGAGGAAGUUCACUGAGUACGGGGUGGUGGUGCAGGCGGCUAACCGUGCUGGCACCGGGCCCUCCUCUCAGGAGGUCAUCACCAAAACACUGGAGGAUGUCCCCUCGCGUCCCCCUGAGAAUGUCCUGGCCAUGGCCAAGUCUCCAGAAGUCAUCUCUCUGUCCUGGUUGACCCUGCCCAAAGAGGCCCUGAAUGGAAACCUGCAGGGCUACCGAGUCAUCUACUGGGCCAACCUGGCAGAUGGAGAGUUGGGAGAGAUCAGGAACGUGACCACCUCCUACCCAUCUCUGGAACUGGAUGGUCUGGAGAAAUACACCAACUACAGCAUCCAGGUUCUGGCCUUCACCCGGGCAGGGGACGGGGUGCGCAGCGAGCAGAUCUUCACCCGGACCAAGGAAGACAUCCCUGGGCCUCCAGCGGGGGUUAAGGCCGCAGCCUCCACCAGCUCCGUGGUGUUUGUGUCCUGGCUCCCUCCUCUCAAACUCAACGGCAUUAUCAGGAAGUACAUUGUCUUCUGCUCCAACCACCCCACGGUGAUGAGUGAGUUUGAGGCUUCUCCUGAUGUGUAUUUCUACAGAGUGCCAAACCUGGCCCGCAACAGGAAGUACAGCAUCUGGGUGGUUGCCGUGACAGCCGCUGGGCGAGGCAACAGCAGUGAGACCAUCACAGUGGAACCUCGGGCCAAAGCUCCGGCCAGGAUCCUGACGUUCAACGGAACAGUGACUACACCCUGGAUGAGGGACAUCGUCCUGCCCUGCAAGGCGGUCGGAGAUCCACCCCCCACCAUCAAGUGGCUGAAGGGAAACAAUGGUACCCCUGCUCCUGUUCUGAUUGACGGACGCCACAGUGUCCAUAGCAACGCUAGUUUCAUCAUCCGGACGGUGAAAGCAGAGGACUCUGGGAACUACAGCUGUGUGGCCAGCAACAACUGGGGCUCUGAUGAAAUCACGCUGAACCUACAGGUUCAAGUUCCUCCAGACCAACCACGCCUCACAGUUACCAAGACAACUACCACGUCAAUCACUCUGUCCUGGAUACCUGGGGACAACGGAGGAAGCUCCAUCAGAGGCUACAUCCUGCAGUACUCAGAGGACAACAGUGAGCAGUGGGGCAGCUUUCCCAUCAGCCCUAGCGAGCGCUCGUACCGUCUGGAGAACCUGAAGUGUGGCACCUGGUACAAGUUCACCCUGACUGCUCAGAACGGAGUGGGCCCCGGACGCAUCAGUGAGAUCAUUGAAGCGAAGACCCACGGAAAAGAGCCCCAGUUUGCCAAAGAACAUGAGCUGUUUGCCAGCAUCAACUCCACCCGGGUCAGGCUCAAUCUAAUUGGGUGGAACAAUGGUGGCUGCCCAAUCACCUCGUUCACCCUGGAGUACCAUCCGAUGGACACGGCAACGUGGACCACGGCUCAGCGCACCUCGCUAACCAAGAGCUACAUCCUGUAUGACCUGGCGGAGGCCACCUGGUACGAACUGCAGAUGAAAGUGGUCAACAGCGCCGGCUCCGCCGAGAAGAAGAUCAUGUUCGCCACGCUCAACGCCGAUGGAAGUGAGUUCAACAACAUGUCAGGCAACGAGGGGCUGAAGAUGAUGGUGACCAUCACCUGUAUCCUGGUGGCUGCUGUCAUGGUCUUCAUCCUCCUGAUGGUACUGAAGAGGAGGAGGAGGGAGCAGAGGCUCAAGAGGCUACGCGGUAAGUCAGAACACACACACAAUAAAAACACACGGACACCAGACACAUCCAACAAGCAGCAGACCAUGAGAAUGCACAUCGAUAUCCCCCGAGCCCAGCUGCUCAUCGAGGAGAGAGAUACUAUGGAGAUUAUUGACGACAGGUCGACGGUGCUGCUGACUGAUAAUGACUUUGGGGAGACGUCCAAACAGAAGUCGUCCACGGUCACGCACACAGUCCAUUACCAGUCCCUGUCGCAGGCCACCGGCCCACUGGUGGACGUCUCUGACGCCCGGCCUGGAACCAGUAAGAGCCCUGCAGCCAGCAGGAACCGCUAUGCCAGCCAGUGGACUCUGAACCGGCCACAACCACCCACCUCCUCCCACACCCUGAGCACAGACUGGAGACUGCCCACACCGCGCGCCACCGGCUCUGUGGACAAGGAGAGCGACAGCUACAGCGUCAGCCCAUCGCAGGACACAGACCGCGCGCGGAGCAGCAUGGUGUCGACGGAGAGCGCGUCGUCUACGUACGAAGAGCUAGCCCGGGCCUAUGAGCACGCCAAGAUGGAGGAGCACCUGCGGCACGCCAAGUUCACUAUCACAGAGUGCUUCAUCUCCGACACCUCCUCAGAGCAAAUGACGGCCGGCACCAACGAGUACACAGACAGCCUAGCAUCUAGCACGCCUUCUGAGUCAGGCAUCUGCAGGUUCACCGCCUCCCCGCCCAAGCCUCAGGACAUCAGCCGGGUCAUGAACAUGGCCGCACCAAAGGCCCACAGACCGGGUAAGGAGAAGGUAGCACUCAUAUACAGAACAUACACAGACAUACACUGCAAACACACACACACACAUCUAGAUCAGUGUUUUCCAACUCCGGUCCUCCCCCAACAGUACAUAUUGCUCUUGUGGCCCUCGACAAGCACUCCUGAUUCUACUAAUCAUCAAGAGCUUGACAAGUUGAAUCAGGUGUUUUCGUCUGGGGCUACAACAAAAAUGUGUACUGUAGGGGGUACUGGAGGACCGGAGUUGGAAAACACUGCUAUAGAUAGUUCAGUUCUGCUCCAAUUAGGCCUUGGGCCACAGCAUUACAACUGUAACAUCCACAGCUCUCUGGGCCUGUUCAAAGUUAAGUUUCAUAGCUUUCAUUUAACGCAGCAUUUUACAAAAUGCCUAUUGCAAAAUAAUGAUCAUGAGAUACUCUUCCUCAGGUAA